GACCGCUCAUAAACAAUUCUAAACAUCUCUACAAUCAACAAAUACAGCAAACAAAUAAGCCCACGGCCUGCACAGCCAUAAUGUCGGUGCAUAUCUCAGGUCUCUGCUUCGAAUUCAGCCAAGACUAGCUAGUUCACUGUACAUGCAUAUAUGGUCGCUACUCUACGAGAUCCGCACGGAGCAAUCUACCAGGUGCAAUAAGAAUAUCUAGGAAAUUAUUUUAAGAAGGCAAGCAACUAUACUUGAAAGGUUCUAAUAUAAUACUAAAGUGUGAUCUGUAAGAUGGUGAAAUCUCAAAACAUCCUGCAUGGCCGCUCAUGAAACAGUAUUGAACACGUCUAUAAUCAACACAUCCAGCAAAAUAAUAAGUCAACCGGCACAACCAUAAUGUCGGUGCAUAUCUCGGACCUCCUGUUUGAUUUUUUUUAUUUUUUUUGCGGGGAUCUCCUGUUCGAAUUAACCCAGCAAAGAUUAGUUCCAACCAAGCAAGGUCCAUGACCAUAUGCAGCGCAACAGCCUGUGAAGCAUGAAGCAUCCAUCACCCCUGACGGCUACGAGUCAUGACCAUUGGCAGCAAGAGCAGGCUGCGCUCCUGGUGCUGCUUCGAUUGCAAGAUGCUGCUGCUCUUCGGUUGGUGCUUCCGUCAUUCUGUCCUUCUGUAGGGUACAAGAUUUAGUUCCAAGUGAGAUAGCUGAACAUGUCAGGAUUCACGUGUACGAUUUACCGCACCACAGAAAAUCUUGACAGUACGUAUGCAUGUCUAGCACUGCAAAAUAGGGACAUGUAUAGUUGUUGUAGAUUACUACAAAGUUUCAAGAUGAUGGUUUUACAAAACUCCGAGUUCUGGUCACAGAAAGGUGAGAAAGGUAAUUACAUUGAUCAAAUUUAUAAUCUAAUACGCUAGAAUAUAUAUCUCUUGGUUAUUUGGUAAGGUAGGAUAUGUCAAUCUAAUGGAAGUGUGCAAUUAGAGAUUUGCACAUAGGUUAUUUGAUACAGUAGGAUGUCAAUUUAACAGAAGUUAAUUAGUGACUUGUAGGAUGUGAAUCUAAAAAGCGUGGAAUCAGUGACUUAAAUCAUCAUUAGUUGCUGGUGGCACAACUUGCAGAGGCGCAGGUGCAAUAGAACAUUUUGAGUGUGUACUAACCAUUUCCUUGAGUGUGUACUAAUUAGUCUUGUGUGUACUAACCAUUUGUGUAC
rnacentral:lncRNA from 1 species